UCCGGGUGAAUUACCUCUGUACCCUUGCCAGUGCAAUCACCUCUAAUCAGGCAUAGUCAAUGCGGCUUUAUGCGGGGGAGGUCCUGUCUCACAAACCUUUUUGAGGAGGUGACAACGACAAUUGGUGAGGAUAGGCAGUAGGUGUUGUCUACAUGGAAUUCAUUCAAGCAUUCGACAAUGUCCUUCAAGAUGCUGCCUGGCCCGCUGAGUUCCUCCAGCAGCUCGGAGAGAGAUGUUGGGAUUUGAUGGUCUGAAUCCCCCACUGUUCAGGCUGAGGCUCCAUGGUGCCACCACUGACCACAAUGCUACUCAAUCUGCUGAGUUCCUCCAGAUUCCAGCAACUCCAAUCUCUUAAUUAAGGAAUCUUUAACCAAAGAAUUUGACAGAUAGUUGAUACCAGAAACCGUCCUAGGGUAAGAUGGUGAGGAAUGGACUACUACUAUAACACCACCAUACCUCAGGGUUAACACACAGGGAGCCAGUCUUCAGACAACUGGAUUCACUCUAUGAGAUAUCCUGAAAGCACUGAAUAAAGGAGAGUCCGUGAGACCAGAAAACUUCCUAGUACUGAAGACCGGUGCUGCACAACUAGCUGCAGCUCUGUUCUGGUACAGUUACAACUCAGACAUCUACCCGACAAUGUGGAAAUUUUCAUGGGUGUGUCCUAUUGACAAAAAGCAGGACAAAUCCAACCUGGCCAAUCACCGUCUAAUCAGUCUACUCUCAAGCAUCGGCAAAGUGGUGGAUGGUGUCAUCGACAGCUUCUAUAUAUGGAAGAUUAGCCUUUGACGGUCAGAGGUGACGGAAUGCUAAUGGAGACAAGGUCCCCAGGUUACGUCCAUGCCUGUGUGUCCCUGGAGAAGGAGCUACAUUGGGGGAUUUCUGGGACCGAGAAUGUUAAGCAAGUGGGAGAAUAUUUGGAUCUCAUCAGAAGAGUUUUUACACAAAAAGUUGAAGAGCAACCCAACCUAUCCAUUCACAAUUAGGCAGCCUAAUGAGAGUGGAUGAUAACAGGAACACGCUGCCAGAGGAGGUGGUGAAAUCAGUCUACGAGCUCAACUACUUGAACGAUAACUUAUGCCUCGGCAUUGUUUUGAUAGCAGCUUCUUUCUUCAUAUUCAUACUUUGCCUCUUAAAAUCUGUUCCGGCAGAAAUCUUUCCCUCAAGAGCCGGUCACUGACAUCAGGAAGCAGGGCGGAGGACACGCCCCUGUCUUUGUCAAUGGUGCUGAGGUGGACAUGUUGAGAGCUUCAAGUUCCUAGGUGUAAACAUCUCCGAUAGGUUAUCCUGGUCCAACCACAUAGACGCUAUUGCCAAGAAAACACACCAGCACCUCCACUUCCUCAGAUGGCUAAGGAAAUUCGACAUUUGCCCAUUGACCCUCACCAAUUUUUACAGACUCAGUACUGAAAGCAUCCCAUUCAGAUGCCUCAUGGCUUGGUACGUCAUCUGCUCUGCCUGGGACCACAAGAAACUGCAGAGAGUUGUGGACACAGCUCAGCACAUCACAGAAACCAGCCUCCCCUCCAUGGACUCUGUCUAUACUUCUCACUGCGUCAGUAGAGCAGCCAACAUAAUCAAUGACCCCACCCACUCCGGACAUUCUCUCUUCUCCCCCUUCCCAUCAGGCAGAAGAUACAAAAGCCUGAAAGCACGAACCACCAGGCUCAAGGACAGCUUCUACCCCACUGUUAUAAGACUAUUGAACGGAUCUCUAAUGGUGAACUCUUGACCUCACAAUCUACCUCGUUAUGGCCUUGCACCUUAUUGUCUGCCUGCACUGCACUUUCUCUGUAACUGGAACACUUUAUUCUGCAUUGUGUCAUUGCUUUUCCCUUGUACUACCUCGAUGUACUUAUGUUUUGAAAUGAUUUGUAUCGUUGGCUUGCAAAACAAAGUUUUUCACUGUACCUCGGUACAUGUGACAAUAAUAAACCAAU